GGCGGCGUGCUUAACACAUGCAAGUCGAACGGAGCGAAUGAAAGCUUGCUUUUAUAAGCUUAGUGGCAAACGGGUGAGUAACACGUAGACAACCUGCCGACAGGAUGGGGACAACAUUCCGAAAGGAAUGCUAAUACCGAAUGAAGUGCAGGGGAGGCAUCUCCCCUGCAUGAAAGAUGGCCUCUUUUUAUGCUAUCACCUGUUGAUGGGUCUGCGUCUGAUUAGCUAGUAGGUGAGGUAACGGCUCACCUAGGCGACGAUCAGUAGCCGGUCUGAGAGGAUGAACGGCCACAUUGGGACUGAGACACGGCCCAGACUCCUACGGGAGGCAGCAGUGGGGAAUCUUCCGCAAUGGGCGCAAGCCUGACGGAGCAACGCCGCGUGAGUGAAGAAGGUCUUCGGAUCGUAAAGCUCUGUUGAUGGGGACGAACGUGCCUAAUGCGAAUAGUUUUAGGCAAUGACGUACCCAUCGAGGAAGCC
rnacentral:rRNA from 1 species